GACGAACGCUGGCGGCGUGCUUAACACAUGCAAGUCGAACGAAGUGGCGAACGGGUGAGUAAUACGUGGGUAACCUGCCCUCCUUUUUGGGAUAAGCCUUGGAAAAGGGGUCUAAUACCGAAUAAAGGGGGAUGUGCUCGGGGCCUAUCAGCUUGGUGGUGGGGUGAUGGCCUACCCAGGCGGUGACGGGUAGCCGGCCUGAGAGGGUGCCCGGCCACAUUGGGACGAAGGUACGGCCCAGACUCCUACGGGAGGCAGCAGGGGGGGAUAUUUCACAAGGGGCGAAAGCCUGAUGCAGCGACGCCGCGGGGGGGAGGAAGGCUUGCGGGUUGUAAACCUCUUGUGCUAUCGAGCGGGUAGGUGGAGAAGAAGCGCCGGCUAACUACGUGCCAGCAGCCGCGGUAAUAC
rnacentral:rRNA from 1 species